UUUACUAAGACUAUAAAUAGAACGGUGAACUGCUUGCGAUGUUCAAGAGUUCUAGCUUCCACCCAAUCACAGCGCAGGAGGGGCGUGGCUUAACGGAAUACGGGUGUAGGUCAAACCCUGCAUAUCGCCGAGUGCGUCUUUGCAGCUUUUCAGACACCAAUGGCGAAGGAAACCCAAGAGGUGCUGCAGACACAGCUCCAGGGUCUCCCCCUCCACUUCAUCCUCCGCCAAAGAGUCCGAUAGAGGCCGGGUGGGCAGAGGGCCAUCCUCGGGCAGGGGAGGCUUCAUCUCCCGCAAGAAAAGCUCCAGGAAACGCCGGCACUCAAGGCAUGAAGAGUGUCUCAGAGUCGUCUUAAUCCUGCUGCUGCUGCUGAUCUGUACGCGGACGCUUGCUGUGAUUUCCUGCCGCAGGGCUGGAGGGAUGCGCUUCAACUGAGUUACUGGAGUCUCUGAAACCUUGACCCUGAAAAGGGACAGAAAUUGGGCCAAACAUGAUGACCUAAAAUUGGAUCCACAGAUGCUGACCGUAAUCUGAUACUGGACUGUGGCCUCCUUUUGGUUUGGGGACUUGCAGAGAGAUGCCAUCCUGCAGGCAGAGAGAACAGA